UACAGAGGUCUCAAGCGUUGUUCGGAUUCAUUGGGCGUAAAGGGUGCGUAGGCGGCUUGUUGCGUCGGCUGUGAAAACCCGUGGCUUAACUGCGGGCUUGCAGCUGAUACGGGCGGGCUAGAGUUCGGUAGGGGGAGACUGGAAUUCCUGGUGUAGCGGUGAAAUGCGCAGAUAUCAGGAGGAACACCAAUGGCGAAGGCAGCUCGCUGGGACGUGACUGACGCUGGAGACGCGAAAGCGUGGGGGAGCAAACAGGG
rnacentral:rRNA from 1 species